rnacentral:misc_RNA from 1 species
GAUGAAGAACGUAGCGAAAUGCGAUAAGUAAUGUGAAUUGCAGAAUUCAGUGAAUCAUCGAAUCUUUGAACGCACAUUGCGCCCGCCAGCAUUCUGGCGGGCAUGCCUGUUCGAGCGUCAUUUCAACCCUCGAGCCCCCCCGGGGGCCUCGGUGUUGGGGGACGGCACACCAGCCGCCCCCGAAAUGCAGUGGCGACCCCGCCGCAGCCUCCCCUGCGUAGUAGCACACACCUCGCACCGGAGCGCGGAGGCGGUCACGCCGUAAAACGCCCAACUUUCUUAGAGUUGACCUCGCAUCAGGUAGGAAUACCCGCUGAACUUAAGCAUAUCAAUAAGCGGAGGA